rnacentral:lncRNA from 1 species
CAAACUGGUACAACCAUUCUGGAAAUCAGUCUGGAGGAUCCUCAGAAAAUUGGACAUUGAACUGCCUGAGGAUCCAGCUAUACCUCUCUUGGGCAUAUACCCAAAAGAUGCCCCAACAUAUAAAAAAGACACGUGCUCCACUAUGUUCAUUGCAGCCUUAUUUAUAAUAGCCAGAAGCUGGAAAGUACCCAGAUGCCCUUCAACAGAGGAAUGGAUACAGAAAAUGUGGUACAUCUACACAAUGGAAUAUUACUCAGCUAUCAAAAACAACGACUUUAUGAAAUUCGUAGGCAAAUGGCUGGAACUGGAAAAUAUCAUCCUG